UACGGGGGGAGCAAGCGUUGUUCGGAUUUACUGGGCGUAAAGGGCGCGUAGGCGGUCGUGACAAGUCACUUGUGAAAUCUCCGGGCUUAACUCGGAACGGUCAAGUGAUACUGUCGGACUAGAGUACAGAAGGGGCAACUGGAAUUCUCGGUGUAGCGGUGAAAUGCGCAGAUAUCAGGAGGAACACCGAUGGCGAAGGCAGGUCUCUGGGCCGAUACUGACGCUGAGGAGCGAAAGCGUGGGGAGCGAACAGG
rnacentral:rRNA from 1 species